AGUGAACGCUGGCGGUAUGCCUAACACAUGCAAGUCGAACGGCAGCACAGUAAGCGCUUGCUCUUACGGUUGCCGACGGGCGGACAGUGUAUGAAUACAUCGCAAGCUACUUGGUCUAGCUACGUAACGUAGUGACUAUUACGCUAAUACCGCAUACGACCUACGGGUGAAAUCAUGGGAUCUUCCAAUCUUGCGCGAUUCAAUAAGCCGAUGUCGGAUUAGCUAGUUGGCGGGGUAAAGGCCCACCAAGGCGACGAUCCGUAGCUGGUUUGAGAGGAUGACCAGCCACACUGGAACUGAGACACGGUCCAGACUCCUACGGGAGGCAGCAGUGGGGAAUAUUGGACAAUGGGCGCAAGCCUGAUCCAGCCAUCCCGCGUGGGUGAAGAAGGCCUUCGGGUUGUAAAGCACUUUUGUUGGGAAAGAAAAGCAGCAGGUUAAUACCCCGCUGUUCUGACGGUACCUAAAGAAUAAGCACCGGCUAACUUCGUG
rnacentral:rRNA from 1 species